GAAGGGAUAACUCGGACCUGCGAAGGGACAACUCGGACCUGCGAAGGGACAACUCGGACCAGCGAAGGGAAGUUGCCCACCUGAAACAGAGAUUGGAUGCAAUCUGCAGACGGAGGCAGGCAGAGGAAUACAUGAGGCAGGAGCCCACCCCAGAAGGACCGUACAGGCUGCACCCUCCCCUGAGAGCUUCAGGGCUGGGUGGCACCUCUGUUAGGAAUGGCAACGCCUUCCCGGCUCAUGAGGGAGAGGAAGCCCAGGUAAGUAAUUUUUUCC